rnacentral:rRNA from 1 species
CACAAGCGGAGGAGCAUGUGGUUUAAUUCGAUGAUACGCGAGGAACCUUACCUGGGCUCGAACGUAAGAUGACUGUAGGUGAAAGCUUACAUCUCUUCGGAGCAUUUUACGAGGUGCUGCAUGGUUGUCGUCAGCUCGUGCCGUGAGGUGUCGGGUUAAGUCCCAUAACGAGCGCAACCCCUACCUUUAGUUGCCAUCAGGUUAAGCUGGGGACUCUAAAGGAACUGCCUACGCAAGUAGUGAGGAAGCGGGGAUGACGUCAAAUCAGCACGGCCCUUACGUCCAGGGCUACACACGUGCUACAAUGGCCGAUACAGAGGGCAGCUACCUGGUGACAGGAUGCAAAUCUCCAAAGUCGGUCUCAGUUCGGAUCGGAGUCUGCAACCCGACUCCGUGAAGUUGGAUUCGCUAGUAAUCGCGCAUCAGCCAUGGCGCGGUGAAUACGUUCCCGGGCCUU